rnacentral:lncRNA from 10 species
AAGGAAAGAAAAUGAGAAACAAAAGUAUUCUGAAGAAAAAGGUCAUAGGAAAGUGAGGAUAAAGAUACCAAGACAAAAUAUAAUGACUUCCCCUUUGGACCUCAGUGCUUGUACAUGGAGAAGAUAAUUUUGACUUGAGUUUUCUGUUUAUUUGAAAAACCUUUUAUUGUAAUUUUCACCAGUAAGGGAGAUAUUUCUGGACUAUGAAUUGUAAAUAGACUUUGUUAAAUAAGACAGUAGACUUAAUUAAGUUAGAUCAUGUAUAAAAUAUUUAUGCUACAUAUUAAGUGUCCAGUUAAUAAACAUCAAUUUAUUGUCUCUCUCUCUCUCUCUGCCCCUUCUCUAUGCCUUUAUUCUUUACAAUUAUUUUAUUUUCUCUGAAAGUUCUGAUCUUGUACAGAAAGUACUGUUUGGGUCUUUAGUUAAAUUUGUGUUUACAUCCUGAUAAAAAAAAUUGUGUUUAUAUCCUGAUAUUAUGAAAUUAUGUUUAUAUCCUGAUAUUAUGAAAGACAAAAUAUCUAAACUGUGUAAGCCUCAGUUUUUUCAUCUUAAAAAAAUGAAUUCAUAGUACUUUUAUGAGGCUUUCAUAUUGUGCUGUACAUAGGAAAAAUACUUUUUAAAUGUCUGCGACUUGAUUACAAUUAUUCAAUGGCACAUUCGUCAAUAAGAAAAUAAACUUCUAAACAAUUAAUUUACAUUAAAUCAUUUAUUUUGGUUUCAAUCAAGGAAAGAUUUCUUGCAACCUCAUGAAAGACCUUGACCAGCCAUGACUACCCAUCUAACAUGCUGUCUAAUUCCUGACCUAUGGACACUGAUUUCAAAGAGAGGCUGUUUGCUUGACUGAAGGAAGUGCCUUUUGACAGAAGAUGCAAUUUAUGUUAUAUGAAUGAUAUUUCUGAUGGCCAAAAGGACCUGUGAUAGCCUGAGAGUCAAAGACAAGCAGGAACGCAUCUGUAGUCAAACAAGGUCAGGUUUAUUUAGUGGACUGCAUCAAAUAAGAACACCCCCAAAUAGGAACUUGGGGCACCUCAGUAAUGGAGAUUUCACAGGAGUUGUUUAUAUGUUUGUGCUUGUGCUUGAUAUUCCCAAGGCAGAUAUGGAAUGAAUCCUGGCUUGGAUUGGUUCUUGUCAACAAGGAGGAGCAGGUUAGCAAUCAGAUUCUCGGUAUUCAUUGUUCAGGUGGUGCUGUAUGUCCCCUCCAAAAGCAUGUUGAAAUUUAAUUGCCAAUAUAAUUGUAUUGUGAGGUAGGACCUUUAAGAGGGGUUUGGCUCAUUGAAGCUCCACCCUCAUGAAUAGAUUAAUGUCAUUAUCGUGGGAGUGGGAUUGUUAUCAUGGGAAUGGGCUCCUGAUAAAAGAGUGGUUUCUGCCUGAUCUCCUCUUUCCCUCUCUCGCAUGCUCACUUGCCCUUCCACCAUAUUAUGAUGCAGCAGGAGGGCCCUCACCAGAUGCUGAUAACAUUUUUUUAACUUCUCAGCCCUCAAAACUGUGAAGAAUAAUUUCUUUCUUUUAUACAUCACCUAGUCUGUGCUAUUCUGUUAUAGCAGAAGACAAUAAACUAAGACAGACAUCGGGAAAACAACACGGGCUUGGGGACAUCAUUUAUAAGAAAGUGAUAAUCACUCAGAGAAAAAAAUGAUUAGUCAUAUUUUCAGCUAUAGUGUGGCCUUUUGUAUAAGCACUGUAUACAAAAAUGCUAUAUCCCAUUGGAAGCAUUUUUUUUUUUUUUUGAGAAGGAGUCUCACUCUGUAACUCAGGCUAGAGUGCAGUGGCACGAUCUCGGCUCACUGCAACCUCCUCCUCCUGGGGUCAAGCGAUUCUCCUGCCUCAGCCUCCCGAGUAGCUGGGACUACAGGUGUGCACCACCGGGCCCAGGUAAUUUUUUUGUAUUUUUGGUAGAGACAGGAUUUUACCAUGUUGGCCAGGCUGGUCUCGAACUCCUGACCUUUUCACUUUCUCAAAAAGAAUAUUGUGACACAACCAUGAAGUGAAGAGUUCUAAGAUCCAACAUAGUCUCACUGAGUUGAUGCAUGUUUUUACCUGACUUCUGAUCAUUUUAUAAACAAUUAAAAUAGUACAGCGGGACAGGACCUUAGAAAUUGUCAUUAUAUGUAUGGAGAGCCUGGAGCACAUUCCCAGGGUCUGCCAAGCAGUUUGUGCCAAAAGAAGGAUUAGGACCCAGAUCUCUGACAAUUAGACAAGGAUCCUUCACAGGACAUCUAUUUUCAUCCUGGUACACACACACACACCUGUACCAAUUUCAGGGGUAAAGUAUUUUGCAAGUGAUUUACUACUAAUAAGAGUGAAAAUACUGGAGUGAUUCUCUAUUACUGUUUUCUCACUGUAAAAAUUUCAAGCAUACAAUCAUAAUAAAGUUAUCUCUUUACUUCAAUCUCCUUUCUCAUCUCCAUAUGGAUAAAUAUGUGUAUCUGACUAUUAUAUUAAAGUAAUGAUAUAGUAGUACAUAUUGUUUUGCUGUUGGCUUUUCCCAAUUAAUAACACACUUUGGAUACUGUUCUGUGUCAGUGUCAAUAAAAUCUGUAAACAUAGAUAACAUUAUUUUAUUAUUUUACAAGGUGAAGAUGUCCUUAAUGAUAUUCAAUAUACUUUUCUACAUUUACAGACUAUGUACAUUUUGUAGAUAGAACUUUUUUAUUAAAAUUAACGUUAUUAACCAUUUAUUUAAAAUACUCACAAAUAUUUUUAUUCAAAAAUUAUCUUGAGUAGUAAGGUUAUUGAGAUGCACAAUAAAUGAGCUACGUACUGCUUAUGAGAGAUGGUAGGCCAUUCUUUCUGUGGAUCAUAAGAAAUAUUUUAAAUAAAUAAAUAGUUUGAAU